rnacentral:rRNA from 1 species
GCGUAAAGCGCACGCAGGCGGUCUGUCAAGUCGGAUGUGAAAUCCCCGGGCUCAACCUGGGAACUGCAUUCGAAACUGGCAGGCUUGAGUCUUGUAGAGGGGGGUAGAAUUCCAGGUGUAGCGGUGAAAUGCGUAGAGAUCUGGAGGAAUACCGGUGGCGAAGGCGGCCCCCUGGACAAAGACUGACGCUCAGGUGCGAAAGCGUGGGGAGCAAACAGGAUUAGAUACCCUGGUAGUCCACGCCGUAAACGAUGUCUACUUGGAGGUUGUGCCCUUGAGGCGUGGCUUCCGGAGCUAACGCGUUAAGUAGACCG